rnacentral:rRNA from 1 species
GACGAACGCUGGCGGCGUGCUUAACACAUGCAAGUCGAACGAUGAAGAAGAGAAACGCGAACUUCGGUUCAAAUUUCACGUCGGGUUAGUGGCAGACGGGUGAGUAACGCGUGAGCAACCUACCUCUUACAAAGGGAUAGCCUCGGGAAACCUUGCUUAAUACCAUAUGACACAUUCAUAAGACAUCUUAAGAAUGUUAAAGCUACGGCGGUAAGAGAUGGGCUCGCGUCCCAUUAGCUAGUUGGUGAGGUAACGGCCCACCAAGGCGACGAUGGGUAAACGGGAUGAGAGGGAGAACGGUCACACUGGAACGGAGAAACGGUCCAAACUAUCGCGGGAGGCAGCCGUGGGGAAUACUGCCCAAUGGAGGGAACGAAGAUGGAGCGACGCCGCGAGAGCGAUGAAGGAAGGCGUUAAGGAAAGAUAUGUUCUAUGGGAAGAAAAGGACUGUACCAUAGGAGAAAGCCCCGGCUAAAUACGUG